rnacentral:rRNA from 1 species
UACGAGGGGGGCGAGCGUUGUUCGGAAUUAUUGGGCGUAAAGGGUGCGUAGGCGGUUUGGUAAGUCUGAUGUGAAAUCUCUGGGCUCAACUCAGAGUCUGCAUCGGAAACUGCCGGGCUUGAGUAUGGGAGAGGUGAGUGGAAUUCCUGGUGUAGCGGUGAUAUGCGUAGAUAUCAGGAGGAACACCUGUGGCGAAAGCGGCUCACUGGACCAUAACUGACGCUGAUGCACGAAAGCUAGGGGAGCAAACAGG